rnacentral:rRNA from 1 species
GGGUGGUAAUGCCGGAUGCUCCAGUUGAUCGCAUGGUCUUCUGGGAAAGCUUUCGCGGUAUGGGAUGGGGUCGCGUCCUAUCAGCUUGACGGCGGGGUAACGGCCCACCGUGGCUUCGACGGGUAGCCGGCCUGAGAGGGCGACCGGCCACAUUGGGACUGAGAUACGGCCCAGACUCCUACGGGAGGCAGCAGUGGGGAAUAUUGCACAAUGGGCGCAAGCCUGAUGCAGCGACGCCGCGUGAGGGAUGGAGGCCUUCGGGUUGUAAACCUCUUUUAUCGGGGAGCAAGCGAGAGUGAGUUUACCCGUUGAAUAAGCACCGGCUAACUACGUGCCAGCAGCCGCGGUAAUACGUAGGGUGCAAGCGUUAUCCGGAAUUAUUGGGCGUAAAGGGCUCGUAGGCGGUUCGUCGCGUCCGGUGUGAAAGUCCAUCGCUUAACGGUGGAUCCGCGCCGGGUACGGGCGGGCUUGAGUGCGGUAGGGGAGACUGGAAUUCCCGGUGUAACGGUGGAAUGUGUAGAUAUCGGAAAGAAC